AGUCAGUCAGUCAUUAUUUGUGUGUAAUGUAAUGGCGAUUUGUGAACAGUAGUUUCAUCAGAAUAAUAUCAUAUGUAAUAACAAAAGUCAAAAAUAUACGUGAUACACAAAUACCGAGAUUGCCAAUAUGCGGUCUGUUGUAGAAAUAGGGGCAAGUGUUCCUGCCUUUUUAGGAAAAUUAUGGAAACUGGUUAACGAUACAGAAAACAAUCACUUAAUUUCCUGGAGCCCCGGAGGAAAAACAUUUGUAAUAAAGAACCAAGCUGACUUUGCUAGGGAAUUACUCCCUUUGUAUUACAAACACAACAAUAUGGCUAGUUUCAUCAGACAAUUGAAUAUGUAUGGAUUCCACAAAAUCACAUCAGUUGAAAAUGGUGGACUUCGAUAUGAAAAAGAUGAAAUUGAAUUCUCACAUCCCUGUUUCAUGAAGGGUCAUUCCUACUUACUAGAACACAUAAAGAGAAAAAUUGCCAAUCCAAAGACAAUAGUGACUAGCGGAGAGAGUGGUGAAAAAAUACUCCUAAGACCUGAAUUAAUGAAUAAAGUGUUGACUGAUGUAAAACAAAUGAAAGGGAAACAAGAGAACUUGGACGCUAAGUUUAGUGCAAUGAAACAAGAGAAUGAAGCUCUAUGGAGAGAAGUGGCCAUUCUAAGGCAGAAGCACAUCAAGCAGCAGCAGAUAGUCAACAAUCUGAUACAAUUCCUGAUGUCCCUAGUUCAACCAGCAAGACCAAAUAAUGCGAAUAGUAAUAAUGUUGGUGUGAAGCGACCUUACCAGUUGAUGAUUAACAGUGCGGCACACAAUUCUGCCGCAGACAGCUCCCACCCUGGACUGAUAAAGAACAUCAAGCUGGAUAAAGACACAUUACUAGAUGAACUGAAUGAAGAGAAUUUGGAGGAUGGUCCCACAAUCCAUGAGCUGGCACAUGAUGAUAUUUUGCAUUCGGAGAUUGCUCAAGAUUCAAUAGACCCUGCCAACUUUGUGACAAUAGAUGUGCCCUCUGAUGCUAAUGUCAACAAUGACUAUAGUCCUAACCCCUCAGGACCUGCUCAAUAUGAAGUUACUAUGGAAGAUGGAGAUGAUUUAGAUACAGAUGGUGUCAGAGUCUCAUAUCCAAUAGCCAAAGUCAACAACCUAUUACGGCCUCAGGAUGUUCUGCCAGUAGUGACAUCACCAUCUCCCACUAUGGUUAAUCCAACAUCACCAUUGGAUCAACCAAUACUAGAUCAAGUUUUCAUUGAUCCAUCAACUGUGACAGCUGCAGAAAAAACUAAAAAGGUGCAAAGGAGCAUUGCUAGGCCGGCAAAGAAAAUGUCAUCUGGCAGCAGUUUUAACAACUUAAAUCCUUCCGCUGAUUUGAAAUUACCAGCUGAAAUAUUUGCUGAUGAAGAUUCAGUUGAAAAUGGCAUAGCAGCAGAUGAACUCCUGCAGAGUGCACUGCAAAGUGCUGCAUUAGAUGGCGGCAUGUCUACUUCCAAAGACAAAAUGUUUGGUGGAAUCAACAUCAAACUUGAAAAAGCAGAAAAUGCCAAAACAACAAAGAAGUCAAAGAAAUCGAGUAAGGUCAACAAUACAAACCAGGUGGACCUGGCUGGCAUUAAGACUGAGCUGCAAGAUGACUUGGACUGGAAUAACAUGACUCUUGCUACCGUGAACAACAACAGUGACGUUAAUAGGUGUAACUCCGUGAAUAGGAGAGAUAACAUCAGCAAAAAUCUUGAGGAAUAUACUUCUGUCUUUGGAACAAAUUCAAACAAGAAUGAUAUUGAUGAUCAUUUGGACUCCAUGCAAACUGACAUUGAGUCACUGAGAGAGUUAUUACGGAGUGACAGUUAUGCGUUGGACACAAACACUCUAAUGGGGAUUACUGAUGCAAGGCUAGGAUCUACGAUGUCUUUCGCCAUUCCCUCCAGUCAGCUGCCGUCACACGAUUACCUGUUUGGCUCCGAUGAUCCAUUCUACGGCUUGUCUUAUAAUCCCGUGGACGAGCGAGCGAGAGCAUCAAACAGUGCAAAGAAGCUGAAAGGUGAGAUAUCGAAUGUGAGCGGAGGCGAGGGCCGUGUCCAGGAUGCGUUUCCCGAGGACGAUGGUACACUAAACACUAUGUCAAGUAGUUUCCGAUUUUGAUUUGUUCAUUUAAAUUUUCCCGCACGUUGCCCCGCAUUCUUUUGUUAUUAGUAUCCGGGUGUUCAAAAACAGCGUGGGGGAUUCCAUACAAAAGUAUUAAUUUAUAAUUUUUGGCGUAUUUGUAAAAUGUUUUUAUGUUGUCAAUCAGAGUCAAUCACAUUAAUAUCGUAUUAAUCAUAUUUGAUUUUUCCAGUUACAUUUAAAUAAAAAAUGAAUAAUUAAAAAUAGAGUAAAAUUAAAAAAAAAUAUGAAACUUGUUAACAAGUAAAUUAUUAAUACCUUUAAAAUAACAUUUGCAUACCAAAUGACAACUUGUUACUUACUGUAUGUUUGAAAAAAAAUAUAGUGAUGUACUUUACCUUGAACAAAUACGCAUCUGUUUGCGUCAAUGCAUUAAUGCGCUUGACGAAAUAAAACCAGUUUAAAAGCAACACAUUCUAAAAAUAGCAAAACCUUUUGCAUGGUAAUAACCUACGUACGAGCGUUUACCAUAAGGUCAUAAUCGGUAUCGCAUUGUGACUAGAAAAAAGGAGGUACUUAUCAACAAUUUUGGGACGAAGUUUUCUUGAAUUCUGAAGAUUUUUUCUUCUCAAAAGAAAUUAUUUCUACUUCUAGUCAUGAUUGCAUAUUGAUUCCGACGUUAAACGGUUGGCCUUGUUUUUGUUACACCUUGGAUAAAUUAGUACCAUCAAAUAGUAGAUGACUAUAGUAAAACUUUUUGAUUAAUACUAGUAAUUAGUGGCAUUCAAUCUAGUGAUCUAAUGGAGUCGGUAGCUUAAGGCCAUAGAUUUUACUUGCCUAUUAUGUGUAGGUAUAUAAUUACAAUAAAAUAAUUAGUUUAUUUAAAUUACUAAAUAAUUAUUUUUAGGUGCAAGUGUUUGUUGAGCGCACCUUUAACAGGAAUCGGACCUGCAUGUAUUAUAUACUACUUAUAUUAUUGUCUUUGUAUAACGCAUUAUUUGUCACCCUCGUUAUCUUUAUCUUAUCUUUUAUUAUUUGCUUAAUAUAUUUUUGGUUGAUUUGAGAUUUCGAUUUAAUGCUAGUGCUUUUAGUCAAAUAUGAAGUGAAAUUGGUUUGUUUUUACAGCAUUUUGUUUUUAAUGUGGAAAAAAGACGGUACCUACAUACCUAAUAUACCUACUUUAGGCCAGGAAAUGAAUGCCCAAAAAAAGUGAUAGAGGGAAAUGCUUAGAACACAAUUUUAGACUUCGUAGCUUUGUUUGGACUAGUUAGGAGGUGAACAUAUCAAAAGUCCACGCCCGUAACCCUGGUGCCGGGGGGCAGAGGGGGGUUUGAAGGUUCCAUUUUUCGGUUUUUCGAUUAUAUCUCGAAAACUAUGCGUCUGAGCGACAUGGCCACUUAUACAAAAUGAAAAGAGAUUUCAUUUGUUACAAGUUUUAUUGUCAAGUUUUUCGAUAUCUUAGUUUUUGAGAUAUCCGCUCUUGAAGGAUUACUUAGGGCUCUCAUUUUUAUCUUGAUUAUCUACAUCAGUGAAGCUGCUAGGCCGGGUUUGGUAUCGUUUUCUUAUAAAUCGGGGGUGCUGAAUUCAUUUAUGGUAUCAACAUUGAAACCAUUCUUAAGUAAAAACAAAAUUUAAAAAAAUGACUUUUUUUAAAACUCCUCUUUACGCUUAAACCGCUAAACCGAUUUCGUUGAAAUUUGUUAUAGAGAUGGUUUGAGUCCCGGGACAGUACAUAGGAUAGUUUUUAUAACCAAAAUCAUCUUUUAAAGGUGUGAAAAGUGGGGUGGAAAUUUGUAUGGGGAAUUAAUAACAGUUGAACCUAUUUAAAUAAUAUUUGGGAUGGUCUACAUGUUUGGUUUAGUUGAAAAUGAUACCAAACAUGACUUCAAACCUAAAUUUAAACAGUAAUUCAACUUCGGCGAAGAAGUCAAAUUUCACACCUUCAAAGUAUGAUUUUUGAGAUAAAAACUAUAUUAUAUCCUGUCUCGGGGCUUAAAACAUCUAUUUACCAAAUUUCAACUAAAUCGGUUCAGCGGUUUAAGCGUGAAGAGGAGUUAAAAAAAGUAUAUGUUUAAAGUUUAUAUGUUUUUACUUCGGAAAGGUGUCAAUGUUGAUACCAUAAAUGAAUUUAGCACCCCCGAUUUAUACGAAAACGUUACCAAACCCGGCCUAGCACCUUCACUAAUGUAGAUAAUCAUGAUAAAAAUGAGAGCCCUAAAUAAACCUUCAAGAGCGGAUAUCUCAAAAACUAUACAAGAUAUCGAAAAACUUGACUUAAUUAAACUUGUAACAAAUUAAAUCUCUUUUCAUUUUGUAUAAGUGGCCAUGUCGCUCAGACGCAUAGUUUCCGAGAUAUAAUCGAAAAACCGAAAAAUGGAUCCUUCAAACCCCCCUCUCCCCCCCAGCACCAGGGUUAUGGUCGGGGACUUUUGAUAUGUUCAUCUCCUAACUAGUCCAAAUAAAGCUACGAAGUCAAAAAUUGUGUUCUAGCAUUUCCCUCUAUACUACUUUCUUAUUGCUUGGCCUACUUGCUUUCUUAAUCUUUUAUACCGUACCGUACCUACGCAUUUAUUUAGCAAAAAUGGCAGCUUGGACAGAAAAUAUUUUUGUAAAUAUGCAGUACGUAGCUCUACAUUAGAUAAUGAAUUUGAAUAAAAAAUGCAUGCAUGAUAUUAUUUAUAAGAUAGGUAAUUAAGUUAACGAUAAAAUAGAUCCUCUUUUAUCAUUUAAACGAAUUUGACACUGGAGGAAAUGUACAAAUACUUUUAGUACGUAGUAAUUGUUUUAGACGGGAACGCAUGGAACGUUUUAUUCCUUCAUAGAACAUCAGUUAAAGAAAUUUCUGAAAAGAAACUCCAUUUUAAGAUGAACGUCAGGCAUAUCUUAUUUUAUAUUGAUAUGAUAAUAUGUAAUUUCAAUUCAGAUUGUUGAUUUACAAAGUUACUAUCAAGUUCUAGUAUUAGAUAUUCCACUAAUGCCACACCAAUACAUUGAAAGUUAAAAAAAUGAAGCUCCUGUAAUGGUAACCUUUCGCUUUGCGUUUUUGUCCAACAUGAAAUUCAAAAGACGAUGUAAAAUAUAGUGGGAUAAAAUGCUUCAAACGCUUCCGCUUUUAACGUUCGUUGAUCGAACUAAGUACUUUUACGGCUAGACAUUCUCGGUCCUGGCAUUUCAUUGUGGUGUGGGUUGUUCAUUUCUACAAUGUU